ensembl:lncRNA
AAACAAACCAGUUGAGUGCAAUGAAACCAAACAUGACUGGAAAAGUCACGUUCUGUGUGUGUAUUUACCUUGAAUGUGUCAUCGAAAAUGGAACGAGACGGAAUUCACGACACAAGCGGUUCACAAAAUGUUUCGUGUUAGGCUAUAAAAAUUGAUUUUAUCAAACAAAAAAACAUUCAUUGUGUAACAAUGAGCAUUGGGAUUGCAAACAGAGGAAGAUCGUCAAAGAGGACCUGAUCCCUAGGACCAUGCCUCAGGACUACCUGACAUGAUGACUCCUUGCUGUCCCCAGUCCAGCUGGCCGUGCUGCUGCUCCAGUUUCAACUGUUCUGCCUAUGAUUAUUAUUAUGCGACCAUGCUGGUCAUUUAUGAACAUUUGAACAUCUUGGCCAUGUUCUGUUAUAAUCUCCACCCGGCACAGCCAGAAGAAGACUGGCCACCCCACAUAGCCUGGUUCCUCUCUAGGUUUCUUCCUAGGUUUUGGCCUUUCUAGGGAGUUUUUCCUAGCCACCGUGCUUCUACACCUGCAUUGCUUGCUGUUUGGGGUUUUAGGCUGGGUUUCUGCACAGCACUUUGAGAUAUCAGCUGAUGUACGAAGGGCUAUAUAAAUUCAUUUGAUUUGAUACUAUUAUACCCCAUUCGAAGGUACUUAAAUCCUUUGUCUUGUCCAUUCACCCUCUGAUUGGCACACAUACAAAAUUGUCAAUUGUCUCAAGACUUUAAAAUUCUUCUUUAACCUGUCUCCUUCCCUUCGUCUACGCUGAUUGAAGUGGAUUUAAUAAGUGACAUCAAUUAGGGAUCAUAGCUUUAGUUGUCUCUGUCAUGGAGAGAGCAAGGGUUCUAAAUGGUUUGUACACUCAAUGUAUGUUAUAGAAAUAUUAAAGAAAAAAUUACAAGAGGAUUUACUACAGCAUUUUUUAAGAUUAGCAUACAAAAUGUAAAAAUGUAAAUUGUUAGAAUCCACUGUCUGGCUUUCUGCUUGAAUUUACAAAUAAUUUAAUGUGUCUAACAAGGAGGAGAACAUUUGCUGAUCUCCCUUGGGGGGAGUAGGGGGUCUGUCAGUAGGGGUAGAGAAGAUUAAGGCUUCUUGAAAUAGCUCUCUAGUGAUAUUGUCUGGUUGCUUCUUGGCAUAACCCAAGGCUUUAUACCAUAGUGACGGCAACAUAAAUGAGCCCCACUUAGGGUUGAAUAGUUGAUGGCAUACUGUAUCUAUUCUCACUCUGCAGCUACUGUACAUGCCAUAGUGAAACUCUGUAGCCUGAGAUCAAAGGAAGGAAAUAAUUGUC